rnacentral:tRNA from 1 species
GUAUAAUUAGUUUAUCUUAAAACAUUUAGUUGCAAGCUAAAAAAAACAAAUAACAUGUAUUAUGUU